UCGGCCUGUGGUACAGACCUAUUUAUGCACGACAUCUUGAGUAAAGUGGUUCAUAUUUAAAGCGUUAUCGUUGAUAGCUCUUCACUGACGAAUUUCCUUCAUAGUGCCUCCAUAAGUAACGACUGAUAACCGGCUAUAACACGCCCAUGGUGGCAAAAAUUUUUUAAUAAAGGAAAUAAACAUGUCUAACAUGAUGAAAGGUCAAGUAAAGUGGUUCAACGAGUCUAAAGGCUUCGGCUUCAUCACUCCAGCUGAUGGCAGCAAAGACGUGUUCGUUCACUUCUCUGCUAUCCAAGAUCAAGGCUUCAAGACCCUGGCUGAAGGCCAGAACGUACAGUUCUCUAUCGAGAACGGUGCUAAAGGUCCGUCUGCAGCAAACGUAACUGCAAUCUAAUUGGCCUUUGGCUGAUUACAAAAAACCCGCUAAGGCGGGUUUUU
rnacentral:sRNA from 1 species